AGCGAACGCUGGCGGCAGGCCUAACACAUGCAAGUCGAACGAACCGUUCGGGGUUAGUGGCGGACGGGGGAGGAACACGUGGGAACGUGACUUUAGGUUCGGAAUAACUCAGGGAAACGUGUGCUAAUACCGAAUGGGCCCUUCGGGGGGAAGAUUUAUCGCCUUUAGAGCGGCCCGCGUCUGAUUAGCUAGUGGGGUGAGGUAAUGGCUCACCAAGGCGACGAUCAGUAGCUGGUCUGAGAGGAUGGUCCGCCACAUUGGCACUGAGACACGGCCCAAACUCCUACGGGAGGCAGCAGUGGCGGAUCGUGCGCCAUCGGCGAAAGGCUGACGCAGCCCUGCCGCGUGAAUGCUGAAGGUCUUAGGAUUGUAAAAUUUUUUCACCGGGGACGAUAAUGACGGUACCCGGAGAAGAAGCCCCGGCUAACUUCGUG
rnacentral:rRNA from 1 species